GACAUUUUUUCUUUUUUUUAAAUUUUUUUUUCAACGUUUAUUUAUUUUUGGGACAGAGAGAGACAGAGCAUGAACGGGGGAGGGGCAGAGAGAGAGGGAGACACAGAAUCGGAAACAGGCUCCAGGCUCUGAGCCGUCAGCCCAGAGCCUGACGCGGGGCUCGAACUCACGGACCGCGAGAUCGUGACCUGGCUGAAGUCGGACGCUUAACCGACUGCGCCACCCAGGCGCCCCAAAGAGACAUUUUUUCUGAAGAAGACAUAUAGCUGGCCAACAGGUACAUGAAAAGACCCUCAACAUCACUAAUUAUCAGGGAAGGGCAAAUUAAAAACUAUAGUGAGAUAUCAGCUCACACUUGUUAGAAUGUCUACUAUCAAAAAGAUAAGAGAUAACAAAUGCUGGUGAGAAUAUGGAGAAAAGGGAGCUCUUCAUGCAUGAUUUGUGGGAAUGUAAAUUGGUGCAGCCACUAUGGAAAACACUAUGGAGGUUCCUCAAAAAAUUAAGCAUAGAGCUAUCAUAUGAUCUGGCAAUUCUACUUUCUGGUAAUUAUCCAAAGAAAAAAAACAGUAACUCAAAAAAAAAACCAUGCAUCCCAUGUUUAUUGUAGCAUUAUUUACAAUAGCCAAGACAUGGAAACAACCUAAGUGUCCAUUAUCAGAUGAAUGGGUGAAAAAAUGUGUGUGUGUAUGUGUGUGUGUACUGAAAUAUUAUUCAGCCAUAAAAAAUAAUGCAAUCUCACCAUUUGUGAUAACAUGAAUGGACCUUGAGGACAUUAUGUUGAGUGAAAUAACUCAGAGAGAGACAAGUACUAUAUGAUCUCACUUAUACGUGGAAUCUAAACAAAUCCAAAAAACAAAAACACCACCAAGCCCAUAGAAACAGAGAAUAGAUUGGUGGUUUCCAGAGGCAGUGUGUGUGUUGAGGGUGUGGAAUGGGUGAACAGAGUCAAAAGGUACAAACUUCCAAUUACAAAAUAAAUAAAUCUUGGGGAUAUAAUGUACAACAUGACAACUGUAGUUAAUAAUAUUGCAUUGCAUAUUUGAAAGUCUCUAAGAAGCUCUCAUCAUAAGGAAAACACUCCUGUAACUAUGUAUGGUGACAUAUGUCUUAUUGUGGUAGCCAUUUUGCAAUGUAAAUAAAGGUUGAAUCAUUUUGUUGUACGCCUGAAACUAAUUGAUAUCAGUUGUACCUCAAUAAAAAAAGAAGGAAAAUGGCAUGACUGUCAAUAGGAAUAAAAUUUCAGUUAAACAAGAUGAGUAAAUUGUAGAAAUCUGUUGUAUCGAUAGUUAACAAUACUGAUUGUGCGCUUAAGAAUUUGUUGAGUGAGUAGAUCUCAUGAUAAGUGUUCUUACUGCAAUAAGAAAAGAAGAAAAGGAAAGAGAGAAAAAGAAAAGAAAAGAAACAGGCAUUCAGAAGUAUUUUUUAAGUUUUCUUCCUCUCACUGGCUCUCUGGUCACCUACACCAUUUUUUCUUUUAAUUAUCUCUUUUUGGCUUUACUUAGAUUUUUAAACACCAAGAUUGCUUCUUAUUGUCACUUCUUAUGACAUAAACUUAUCUUUCCUUUGUAUGCACUUUAUUGGCCUUUUAACUUUCUCCUGCCUAUACCUAGAGAAACACCAAACCUGGAGAAAGCCAAAUAUCUACUUCAUCUGGUUUAAACAUCUAUAGAAUAUUACUAUCAAAAACGCUACUUCUCCACAUGCACAUCACAGAAAAGAAUCUCCAACUCCUCCUAUCAGGCUCUAACACUUCCAGUUGAUCUUUCUUAUGUACCAAGGAAGCUCCCGCCAUCAUUCUCCUCCAUCGUUGUGUCAAACCCUUACUUUUCUCUGCAACCUCCAACCUGCCAUCCCCUCCUUCUUCACAGAGAAGAUGAAGACCAUCAGGCAGGAACUGUCUAUAGGUUAGCUCACACUGAAACAUGCACCCAGUGUUGCUCUAUCUAGACUCAUCUCUAAUACCCUUCCUUCCCAUGGACUUAGAGAAAAAGGAAUUUCAUUUUUGAGAACCUUUAUUUGAGAACUGUGUUCCUUCUAGUAUCUUUUCUUUCCUGUGCAAGAAGCUUGUUCUAUUAUCUUUUCUUUCCUAGGUCUAUCAUGUUUCUCUUAUAGCUUUUGCUCUUUAGCAUAGUUUUGAGUUUUAACACUCCCAUAUUCCCGAGUUUCAGUUAUUCUAGAAAGCUCACAGCUCUCCAGCACGUUUACAUCUCUUGCAAAGUCUCCAUCUCCCUCCAUUUGUUCCCCAAGUUCAUCCUCCUUUGAAAGUCAUCAUUCUGGCUUUCUCUUGUUCCUCUAUGAAGCUUUUCUUCCCCCUCAACCCUGCCUCAGUCUUUGAUGGGUACUACCUCUUGGUAUUCUCCCACAUCAUAGGCAUACAUCAGCUUGGGUAGAGAUAGUUUACUAGUCUGCCUUUGCCAUUAAACUGUGAAUAUUUUGAGAAAUGGACUGUCAUUCAUCUCUCUAUUUACAAUGAUUUAUUCUAGAGUUGUGUUUUAUCAAAAUGAUAUACAUUGUCAGUUUCAUGAAAUAUUUCCCCACCUACUAACCUCAGCAAGCUAUAAUACAUGAUUAUAAGACAUUUCUAUAGGAUAUUUUAGGAUAAAAAUAGUUAUUUCUCUUCCUUUGCUCCAAGAUGAGCCACCAUAGAGGGUGAUUAUCUAAAAAUACAGAACUGGUUAUGAUGAGGAAGAUAAAAUCUGAGCAAAAGAGUACGAAUGAAUGUGGAACAGCAGAAAGCACAGAUGGGUAAAGGAGAGCACAAAAAUGGUGACCAGAACCUUCAAGUAUAUGUGUUUUACUGAAGGUGUCUUCUUAUAUUUGAAGUUAUGUAGUGCUGCCCAAGUACCCAGUCCUUUUUAUAUAGUAACUCACUUAAUCUUUAUCGCAACCCUAUGAUAUAGACACUGUUAUUAACUGAAUUUUACAAAUGAAGAAGUCAGGACAUCAUUUGAUAAAUUAUAGGCACAGUUACUAAAUAGUAAAGCUGAGAUUUGAGUCAGGCAGACUGGCCCCACAGUCCUUGCUCUUUACGCAGGACAAAUGCAGGGCAAUGAAAUUGUAUGGUCUGACAAAUAAUCCAAUUAUUGAAGUAGCUAAAAUCAUAUUUAAAGUGAGCCACUUUCUUUCUAAAAUCUGUGAAGUAUAUUCAUUCCAUUGUAAAUUGGUCUUAUUCCCUUGGUGAAAAUUUUCUCAUUAGCUUCAGUUACAAACAUGUCAAUAUUUUUCCAGGGUCAAAUAAUAGCUUAUUAAGAAAUGUGACUUCAAAAAACACAGAAGGUCUGGUUAUCCAACCAUUGAAUUUGGGGUAUAAAAAGAAUUUUUCUUUAAAGACAGCAUUUCCCUAUAAACUGCUUGGAACUAUUGCUCUGCUUUGAAAAGCACAUGUAUUUGCUAAUCGGCUAAGUAAAUCUACCUGUUUUCACUCUGCUCUGGUGGUUUUUCUGUUUUAAGUGUAGAUAAAUAGAAGAACCACAGCACCUCCAAAAUGCUGCUGCUUAAUUCUUCUGUGCAAUUUUCCCUAUUGAAGAUGUCUGCCUUUACAUGGAUUUGAUGAGUUUUGUGAGGUUUUCACUUCAAAAGGAGCUCUUGAAUUUUUAAUCCCCUCACUCAGGAACAAUGUUUUCUUGGUGUGCCUUCCAUUUCUCUUUUAUAUGGGGAAAUUAUACACAUUUUUACUAAGUCAUCAAUUCCUGCUUGAAAUGCUAUCCUCAGUUUCAUGCGUGCAUGGCUUUAUAAAAGUGGGAUGAGCUUUAUAUGCUUCAGGGGCUGUGCAGUGAAAGCAGGAUCCAGCAGAGAUUUGGCCAUAUCUGACAAGUGCCUGCUGUCAGAUUUUUCCUUCUCCUCUGUUUGACACAAUGGAAUCCCUUACAAACAUGUCGAUUCAGACCAGCACACUGCAUACUAAAUUAUGAAAACAAUAUUCACAUGUAGCAUCAAAAAGAGUGGACUCAUCAUGUGGUAUUGUUCUGAAGUGAAACCUGGGUGAUGAGAUGAGGGAAGAAGACUAUCCAUCAAUUAUCUCAAUAUUUUGAAGGCUGUAGCGUAGGGUGGAUGUUUGACUCUUGCUGCAGGAUGGCAGCUUUGCUGUGAUUUAUGUGGAUCUAGUUAUGUGAUUUUGGUUUUGAUGACAGAUGUUAUAGGAAUAGUAUUCAACUUUGUGAUGUAUUCUAAUAUCCUUGGGAUAAAAUGAAUCUAUGUAGAAUUGAAGGGUAUUGUAGUUGUAUUUGUUAAUUGCGGCUGCUGUGCUUUGUAUUUUGUUUCAGAGCAUCAUGCCUGAACAGACAUAGAAGAAUAGCGAUUAUUUUUAGCAAACGUGAGACUGGCUUGCAGUGUUGCUGGCAUGUGGUGAGCCUCUAGACACGCAGAGAAGGGAAAGCAGGGGGUCGCAGUCUCGGUUUUCAUUUGUAGAGUAUACUUGUCAUCUGGAAACCAAUAAUGCUUUACACAUGUUUUGUUUCAACCCUUUAUGCACAAAGCUGGCUUUAAAUAUGAUGGAGUUAAGUAAAGUGGACAUGUCUGUGAUAAUUACAAGAUCCACAGUCGUUUUCUCAUUUUCUGUGAUUCAACAAUUUAGCCAUUUUAAAUUCUUAUCAUAAGCAGAAUUGAAGAUUCUACCUUCCUCUUCCAUAUUCUAUCAUUAGAAUAAUAAUAAAAAAACAACCUUUAAUAUAUAUCCAGUGGAAGGGGUCACAGUGACACUUGGCAAUAGAAGGAGAGUCCAUGGGGAGUGAAUACGCAGAAGCAAAUGUCCAACUGAAAUAACCACACCAUUCUCUUUUUAAAUCACCAAUAGGAAAUGAAUUCAAAAGCAUUCUUAUGUUCCUGAAUACCACUUCAAGAUUAACUUUUAAAUAUAUUUUAAUCACCUUAUUAUACUGAUAAAACAACAUAAAUGGCGUCCAUUUCCUAAGGCUCAAUGGCCACAUGUAACUUUGAUAGUCAAGGUCUUUGUCAAACAAGCUGGUGAAUUUAAUUUUCUAGGUAGACUCUCUUGGUCUUAGCUUUGGGUUUCUACCAAAAAGCAUCUACAGUUAUGCUGCCUAGCCUAUUGGAGAACUUACCCAUUGUUAAUCAUAAUUGCUAACAUUUUUUUAGCAUUUAUUAUGUGCCAGUUAUUGCACUGAGUGCUUUACAUGUAUUAUCUCCUUUAUCUCUUAUCACAACAGCACUGUGAAGUAGGUUGCAUUAUUUUACCUGUGGUGAGUGUUAGACCCACAGAUGUAUGGGACUUCCCUGAAGUUGCAGAGCUCAAAUAUAAGGCACCAUGUCUGACUCUAGAGUUGAGUGAUUAAACCAUUAAGUUGUAUUGCUUCCACUUUACUUCAGUUUUUCUAUACAAUAUCUCUUUGGAUUCUGUGUUAGACUAACCUCUUGGGCUUGCUGCCUUUGCUGGUCUGUUAGGCUUUCUGUUUUUGUACCUGACCCCUGUCUCACAUCAAACUUGGUUUCACUUUUUCUAGUCCUUAAACCACCCUACUUCCUCCAAAUCCAAUCUGACCUCUACUUCCCUUGCUGCCAGUAUCCUGAAGAAACACUAUAUUCAGUCACCUCUGCCUCAUUACAUUCAUCAACUUUUUCUUUCACCUGCCCAGAAGGCUUGGAAGUAUUUCCUUAACUUUCAAUUAAAUGAAUUCCACUUCUAUGGUUUUCUGAAAGCAAAAUUCUUCUGGUUGUCCUUCCUUUCUAAGCAUCCUCUUUACCUAUCUGCAGGCUCUGCAUUUUUUUGUCCCCUAAACUUGGGCAUUCUGAAAGGUCCUAACCUUUCAUUUUAUCUCUUUGCUUUCCAUUCUUUCUGGCUGGAAAUCACAGCUUGUUAUACUUGUAGGUGGAUGACUCUGAAAUCUGGGCCUUCUGCCAGAACUUAUCAUGCAGUAAGUACCUUGCUUCUAUUUGUUAGCUGAUUAUUUCCACUUGAACUCUGUAUUUCUGCAACCAAUCUUAUAGUCCGCACAUCUGUAUCCUUCCCCUUGUCCCUAACCCGCCUCUUCUUUUGACCUCCCCUACUUUUUAAAUGCUGUUACAAGUAUAUCAGGUAAAUGGGCUUGAAUUUCAGUAAGAUUUGAUUUUCCUUUCUUUUAUUGAAUGACAACAAUUAAUGCUUAUUGUACUAUAAAUGCUUAUUGUAUUAUUUUAUGUGCUAGUGUUCUAAGUUUUUAUAUUGACUAUCUCAUUUACAUACUUAUUUAAGUAGCUACUCAUUGCUAUGUCCACUUUAUAGCAUUCAAUCAGUCAUAUAGUCCUGUUGAUUUUUCGCUCACAAACCUUUCCUUAGCCUUCCCUUCUAUCAGCGGUAUUAACAAUAGUUUAUAUUGGUAUCGCUCCAACCUUGAACUAGUCUUUCUUCCUCUAGACCUUUUUCCCUUUGAACAGUGCAUUCUGCAUAGUUGCUGAGGAUUAUUCUUUCUAAAACAUUGCCUUGAUAAUGCCGCUUUCUGGCCCUGAGACCUUUCAUGACUUCUUUGUUUUGAAUAUUAUAGUCCAAAAUCUCCCCGUCAUAUUCAAAGCUACAAUCCGUAUUUCUAAACUCUUCUACUGCCAUGCCACAAAACCUAUGGUCAAACUAAUUUCUUGCAACAUCUUUUCAAUUUUCAAAGUUAGUUCUUUCCAACCUCUCUGCUUUGAUUAUUUCAUUUUUACAGUGUGAAUGCCACUCAUCUCCCUCUUCCUCAUUCUUGUCUCUCUGUCUACUUCUGUCUUACACAAUGUUGAGGCCAGGAUUGAAUGCCACUUUGCACAUGGAAGUGCACUCAAACAAAGGGAUGUCCUUUUUAUGAAAUUUCAUGGGGAAUUUUACCACUUGUAUAAAACCUGUUUGCUGCCUUGUUUGUGGUCAUUUUUACAUGAUUUUUUUUUCCUACUACAAUGCAAACCUCUGGGGAAGUUAUAGCUGUCAUAUUCACCAUGGAUUUCCCUUGGCAUAAAACAGGUAUUUUAAUGGCAGGAACCCUGUGAAAACAUUUGACUGUAGGAAUGAAUGAAGAAUCUCCUUUAUGAUGUACUUCUUCUCUUGGUUCUUAUUUUAUUUUAUUUUUUUAGCAUAAUUCCUUUUUAGAUCUGACAAAACUGAGAAUUUUUAGCUAGAAAAAAGAGAACUGUACAUAAGGGCAAGAUUUGAUAUAAAUUUCCUGGAUCUGCUGAAACCAAUCUGGGUUAAGAAACUAAAUUCCAUCCAUGUGUGUAUUUUUUGGUCUGCAAUUAGGUAGUGUAAUAAUGGUCACCCACGCUGGGAGGAGUUCUUUCAUAUUUCUUUGCCAAGGUUUCCAAACUAUAAACAACAGUUCUGUGUCUGUAUCAGUGAAGUAUGAGAUAAUACUGGAUAAAUAUAUCUGGGAGUGUUUAUUGACAUAGGCAUUCAGGACUCAGGAUAUGUAGCAGCAGGUAGGGUACUCUUUUAGGGAUAUGGAAAAUUAUAAUGACCUCCCAAGAUUGUUCUUACUCUACGAAGCUAUAACUUUUAUAUUCUAAUCAGAUAGAGAAUGAAGAACUUUAGCCAGAGCACAUUUGUAUACUUAAGUCUAAAUAAAAUUCAUACCCAGUCCACAGUCCUUUCUUCCAGGAUCCUUUAUGAAAAGAGGCAAUAAGACUACUAACAUUGUCAGUGACUAUGUCAAAAUUGUAUGUGGAUGUUCCUUCUCCAUUUGCCAGUAGUCCUCACCUGUGUUCUCUAGAAAAAGCUGUAGUGAGUUUGAAGUAUAGAUGUAAUCAUCAGCUCCACUAUUCCAUCAAUGUUUGGGGAUCAGAAGAUGGACCAAAGUUCAAGAUAGGGAAAAUAGAAGGUAGAAGAAUAAUGUGCCUGACCCUUUGUAAUUCUGUAGGUGUCAUCAGGGGCUGGCUGUAGAGCUUACAUCUGAAGGGUGGCUUUUUUGGAAUCAUGUGCUAGCGUCCCAGUUAUAGUCACAAAGUGAAUACCUUGCUGGUGAUCCAAAGACUUUCUCUUUUCAUUGCUGCUUUUAACUGCUCCUGACCUUGCAAGAGAACCAUAUUUCAAGUUAUAUUUCUAACAGAGAAUGAUUCACAAAACUCAAGUGUCUAUGUGAAUUCAUCUUAUCUUAUUCAAGGCUGAGAGUAAAUAUAUAUAAUGGGAGGCAACAUCAUGGGAGGGGCAGAUGGAAUAAACAACCAAUUAAACCAACAUACAUUAAGUACAAAUGAUGGGCUACACACUGGGUGUUAGAGAUCCUGAAAUAAGUAAGACAUAAUUAGGGUGUUCAAGGUGGUCAAAAUCCAGAAAGAGAGGCAGAUGCAUCAGUAAAUAAGACUUUUAUAGCAGCGCAACUUGUAUAUUCACUGUGUGCUGUGGGAGCACAGAGAAGGAACAUCUCAACCAAACUGAGUGAGUUAAGAAAGAUUUUCUUUAAAAAGCUAUCAUCACCAUCACCAUCAAAAUUCAUUUACUAAAUACCUAAAAUUUGUGAUGUUAUAUUGAUGCUUUACAGACAGGCAUAUAGAAAAGAGAUUCCAGUCCUCUAAGAUGUCAUAAAUUAAUGUAAACAUACUGUCUUAAAGUAAAAUACAAGAGCACAAAAGCAGACAUGUUUAUGGCAGUAGCACUGUGCUCAGGGAGUUGUAUCUAUAAAAGGCAGAUAGGUGUGUGUGUGUGUGUGUGUGUGUGUGUGUGUGUGUGUGUGUGUGUGUUUAUUCCUUAGGUUCUUGGAUCGAUCUACAAAUAAAGGUCCUAAUUAGUGCAAAUUUUUAUGAUGUGAUGGAGACCAUUGGAAAUGGGCUAAAACCAUUCAUUCAUUACACAAAGGCCUCUGUAGCUGUUUUCAGAUAAGAAUACCUUUUGCUCUCUGAUGAACUGAUAUGCAUGUGAGAGAGUUAAUGUCACCUUCCAAGUCUCUGGAGUAAUCUAUUCCACUGUCACCUUUCUUUUGAACCAUGACAUUCUGAAAAAGUUAUUUUAAUUCUUUCUUGUAUCAUUUCACAAAGGUUGUACUGUCAAGCACUCUCCAGGAUGUAUAUUUUUAAGAUUUGGCUUCCUCCCUGGAAUCAUGAAGUCUUCAGAUGCUAUGAUAAUGGAUUUCUUGAAUAAAUUUGGAAGCAGAUUCUUAGAGUCUCCUAAGAGCCCAGCCUGCCAACACCUUGAUUUCAGCCCUGGGAGACCUGGAGCAAAGAAGCCCCCUGGACUUGUGAUCUACACAACUUUAUGGAAAACAACAAUCAAUGCAGAAUAUCAGAAUGAUCUGACAGUCAUUGUACCACAAAGAGAGAAGAUGCUGGCUAAUCAAAGUUUAGUUCAUGGUUUUCUCUGGGACUUUGGUACACAACUCAGUUAAACAUCCAGCCACAGGCAGAGAAGGGGCAACAAUAGUCACUUAAUAAAGAAAAAAAAUAAUGUGCAAAAACAUGCUUCUAUAAAGGAUCCAAAUCAGCAUCCUCUUGAAGAUUUCAUGGGUGAUACAAGAUGGUAGCGGAUUGAUAUGAAGCAAAUUCUGAGACCAUGAUGUCUACCCGAAGGAGGGUUCUCCAAGAAACUUUUGGGCAAAUUUGAAAAGACAUCUGGGGAUGUUUGAAGUUUGCCUCCUGGGGAAAAAAAAAACAUUCAGUGUUCCUGGUUUUCAGUAAUGCUGCAAGAUAUUCUAAUAGGAACCAAAAGACGUCCUCUUCCACAUCCACCAUGUCAGCCUAUUUUUGAUCAAGACAUCCCCAGGACUGAUCAGAGUAAAAAAGUGUAUUCCUGCCAUCCAAAUUCUGAGGGAUGCAUCUACCAUAACUUUGAGAUCUUAAGAAAAAGUAAAGAAGCUCUUUUAACAGCUCUUUUUGUGAACUCUGCAACCUGAGUCAAUUGUACAAAAAACAGCAACUUCUUGGAUACAGAAGAUCCUGCAACUCCAGGACACUUGGACAUUUCCUACGAGACACUUGACAUUGAAUUUAAGGCCUACCGGAUAACCCAGGAUAAUCUCCCCUCUCAAGAUCCUUAAAUGAAUUCAACCUGUCAAUACUCAUCUAUCCAAUAAGGUUUAAAUGUGAUUCCUAACAAAAGCUUUGGGGAAACUUGAAGGAUAGGAAGAUGCUUCUUUGAAAACCAUGAAAAGUGCCCUCACCAGACAUUGGAUCUACUGGCACCUUGAUCUUGGACUUCCCAGUCUCCAAAACUAAAAUGGAGGCCUGCAUGUCAAAACUACAAGGAAGUAUAUCAGUAAGGGUUAUGAUCCUUUUGAGUGAACAUCUGUUUACCGUCCAAGUGGCAACAGAUUGUGCAGACCUGGCCAAGAUUAAGGCUGGAGACCUUCUCAGAAAGAAGGAAGAACUGCUGAAACAGCUGGAAGACCUGAAAGUGGAGCUGUGGCAGGUAUGCCUGGGUGGCUCAGUCAGUUAAGCGUUGGCUCAGGUCAUGAUCUUGUGGUCCAUCAGUUCGAUUCCCCACUUUGGCUUCCUGAUGUCAGUACAGAGCCCUCCUCAGAUCCUCUGUCUCCCUCUCCCUCUGCCCCUACACUGCUCUCUCUCUCUCUCUCUCUUUCUCCUAAAAAUAAAAUAAACAUUAAAAAACAAGAAAGCAGAGUUGAGCUGCCCCAGCUGUGCGUCACCAAAGUGAUGGGUGCCAGGGCUUCCAAGUUCUCCAAGACCUGAGUUGUUUGCAAAUCCUUUGCCUGUGUUCUUACCAUCAUCAAGCAAACUCAGAAAGAGAAGCUCAGGAAAUUCUACAAGGGUAAAAAGUACAAGCCUUUGGAUAUGUGGCCCAAGAAGACACAUGCCAUGGUCCACCAACUUAACAAGCACUAGGAGAACCUGAAGACCAAGAAGCAGAAGCAAGUAUGCGGUCAAGACAUGAGCAUCGACGUCAAUAAAGCACAAACUGAAAAGUAAAAUAAAAUAAAAAAAUAAAAAUGAGUUGCCCUUAUAUAUGUCAAUCUGUUUAUUUUAUAUUCCAUUUAUCUGUUUAAUCUAUCUUUAUGAGAAUAUCACAUGGUCUUGAUUACAGUAGCUUUAUGAUGUGUUUUGAAACAGUAAUCCUGCAAAUUUGGUCUUAUUUUCAACCUUGUUUUGAGUAGCCUCAGCAUUUCAAAUUUUCAUAUAAAUUUUAUUUAAGAAAAAUUUUAAUAUAAAUUUUAGAAUCAGUUGUCAAUUUCUACAAAA